CGGGAGGCAGCAGUAGGGAAUCUUCCACAAUGGACGAAAGUCUGAUGGAGCAACGCCGCGUGAGUGAAGAAGGUUUUCGGAUCGUAAAAUUCUGUGUUGGAGAAGAAUGUAUCUGAUAGUAACUGAUCAGGUAGUGACGGUAUCCAACCAGAAAGCCACGGCUAACUACGUGCCAGCAGCCGCGGUAAUACGUAGGUGGCAAGCGUUGUCCGGAUUUAUUGGGCGUAAAGCGAGCGCAGGCGGUUUCUUAAGUCUGAUGUGAAAGCCUUCGGCUCAACCGAAGAAGUGCAUCGGAAACUGGGAAACUUGAGUGCAGAAGAGGACAGUGGAACUCCAUGUGUAGCGGUGAAAUGCGUAGAUAUAUGGAAGAACACCAGUGGCGAAGGCGGCUGUCUGGUCUGUAACUGACGCUGAGGCUCGAAAGCAUGGGUAGCAAACAGGAUUAGAUACCCUGGUAGUCCAUGCCGUAAACGAUGAGUGCUAGGUGUUGGAGGGUUUCCGCCCUUCAGUGCCGCAGCUAACGCAUUAAGCACUCCGCCUGGGGAGUACGACCGCAAGGUUGAAACUCAAAGGAAUUGACGGGGGCCCGCACAAGCGGUGGAGCAUGUGGUUUAAUUCGAAGCAACGCGAAGAACCUUACCAGGUCUUGACAUCCUUUGACCACUCUAGAGAUAGAGCUUUCCCUUCGGGGACAAAGUGACAGGUGGUGCAUGGUUGUCGUCAGCUCGUGUCGUGAGAUGUUGGGUUAAGUCCCGCAACGAGCGCAACCCUUAUUACUAGUUGCCAGCAUUAAGUUGGGCACUCUAGUGAGACUGCCGGUGACAAACCGGAGGAAGGUGGGGACGACGUCAAAUCAUCAUGCCCCUUAUGACCUGGGCUACACACGUGCUACAAUGGAUGGUACAACGAGUUGCGAGACCGCGAGGUUUAGCUAAUCUCUUAAAACCAUUCUCAGUUCGGAUUGUAGGCUGCAACUCGCCUACAUGAAGCCGGAAUCGCUAGUAAUCGCGGAUCAGCAUGCCGCGGUGAAUACGUUCCCGGGCCUUGUACACACCGCCCGUCACACCAUGAGAGUUUGUAACACCCAAAGCCGGUGAGGUAACCCUUCGGGGAGCCAGCCGUCUAAG
rnacentral:rRNA from 1 species